GCUGGCGGCGUGCCUAAUACAUGCAAGUCGAGCGAACCGAUUAGAAGCUUGCUUCUAUGACGUUAGCGGCGGACGGGUGAGUAACACGUGGGCAACCUGCCUGUAAGACUGGGAUAACUUCGGGAAACCGAAGCUAAUACCGGAUAGGAUCUUCUCCUUCAUGGGAGAUGAUUGAAAGAUGGUUUCGGCUAUCACUUACAGAUGGGCCCGCGGUGCAUUAGCUAGUUGGUGAGGUAACGGCUCACCAAGGCAACGAUGCAUAGCCGACCUGAGAGGGUGAUCGGCCACACUGGGACUGAGACACGGCCCAGACUCCUACGGGAGGCAGCAGUAGGGAAUCUUCCGCAAUGGACGAAAGUCUGACGGAGCAACGCCGCGUGAGUGAUGAAGGCUUUCGGGUCGUAAAACUCUGUUGUUAGGGAAGAACAAGUACGAGAGUAACUGCUCGUACCUUGACGGUACCUAACCAGAAAGCCACGGCUAACUACGUGCCAGCAGCCGCGGUAAUACGUAGGUGGCAAGCGUUAUCCGGAAUUAUUGGGCGUAAAGCGCGCGCAGGCGGUUUCUUAAUUCUGAUGUGAAAGCCCACGGCUCAACCGUGGAGGGUCAUUGGAAACUGGGGAACUUGAGUGCAGAAAAGAAAAGCGGAAUUCCACGUGUAGCGGUGAAAUGCGUAGAGAUGUGGAGGAACACCGGUGUCGAAGGCGGCUUUUUGGUCUGU
rnacentral:rRNA from 1 species